GUGGAAUGAACAAGGGGAGUGGAGUGAGGUGAGGUCUGGAGGGAGGCAGAGAAGGGCUAUUUAGACCUCCGUAAGGAGGCGGAACUUUGUUCCAGCUGUCAAAGUCACAGGUCCACUCUUAAGAAGCUGCGUGACAAACUCUGAUUUACGCUUUGGAAAGAUCACUGUGUGAAAGCGACAGACAGCAGUGGGCAUGAGCGGGUAAGGGCGCUCGCAGGCUGUGGCAGUAGCCCAGGCAACAGAUGAGGAGGCCUAGACUAGGAUUAUAGCAAAGGGAGUGGUCGGCAGUGGUUGGAUUCUGAAUAUAUUUUGGGAGUAGAGCUGUCAGCAAUUACUACAAAUUAGGUGUGAAGUGUGAGAAGAAGAAGAAAAAGGACUUAAUAAAGACUCUUGGGUUUUGACCUAAACAACUCAGAGAAAUGCUGGGGCCAUUUAUGGAUGUGGGAAGGGCUGAGGGGUUGGAGGGAACAGGGGAGGGGAAGGUGGGAGGAUAUAUACUAGGUUUUAGGAACGUAAGUACUGCUCUGUGUGGCCUUGUUAAGUCUGAAAUAUCUUUUCGCCAUCCAGGUAAAAAUGUGAUGUUGCACAAUAUAGAACUAGAACUAUGAACUAGAACUAGAACUCUAGAAUGAAUCUAGAACUCAGGGGAGAAGCCCUGGCUAUGCAUAAAAAUUUGAAAAAAAAUAGUACAUAGAUUGUGUUUGAAGACAUGAAUUUAAAUAAGAUCAUCUGAUGACCCAAAAAGGGAGUGUAGACAGGGAAGGGAUGAGUGCUCAGGACGGAACCCUUGGUGUUAUAACAUUUAGGGGUCUACAGGUGGAGGAGGAGCCAGAGCAAGCCAAUGAGAAGGAGCAGGUGGGAAGGACAGGAAAACCAGGAGCAUCUGCAAUGCACAAGUCUAGAAAAGAAGACUCGGACCCUUACGCAGUGUGAUGUCGCUGGUGAGCAGCAGAGUGAGGACCUCUGUGAUUACCCUACACUUCACUGAACACAGGAGAGUGACAUAAAAGAAAACUCAUUGUCUGAGGGUCAACAAGAGACUCAAUUGACCUCAACAAAAAAACUAACAGGGUUGUGAUGGAUUCUUCAAGCAAACUAAGAACAGUCUCAUGAGUCAGAUGAACAUAAGCCCUCUGCAGGCAAGGCAGUCAGAGUCUUUGUGGAGCAAAGGAGUCAGCAUGUUCUGAGUCAAUAAAAUUAAGUCCUUCCAUGUAUCCCAUUCCAAUUGGGUAGCAUUGCACUGGGUAGCAAUUGGGUAGUAUAGCACUCUUUCUUUAUCCAACUAUAACUUUCACAUAAAACACCAGGUAAGACUGUGAAUUCAGCUGAGGUUGGAAUUGGGAAACCUACAAAAUUAAACUUUGAGUUUGAUCUUUGUGGCUGCAAGAGAGAAGAUAUUCUUUUAGCUGGUUUUCAAUCUCUUCCCCAAAUUAGAAAUUUGAGAAUGUCAUUCUUUUUUUUUUUUAACUGUUCAGCUUAUUUAGAAACAACACUUCCAACCCACUCCUGAUACCAAUUUAUAUCAGUUAGCAUUUUUAGUUAGAAACAAAAUAUAACCAAGUUAAACUGAUGAAGACAGAAUAGGACAUUAUUAAAAAGAUUUGGGGUAGCUCAUAGAUUCAUUAGGAAGCCUAAACAAUUAGGGACAAGGCUUUGCACUAAAAUCAAGGCCCAAAAUCACACCAUAGAAACGGUCUAAUAAGAACCACACUGUGGCCUUCACCAAACAAUUGUUGCAGCCUGCACUGCAAACAGAGCUGGGUCUGUAUAUUAAAUGCCUCCAACUACUGCUACAAAAUUUAACCCUACUGUAAUGGUCUACACAGCUGUGCAGCAUUCCUCUCUUCUGAUGUAUUGGCCCUCAAUUCCAAGUAUGAGGCAAGACCAUGUGCCCCGCACCCUAGGUGCAAAGGAAGCUCAGAAAGCAAGUAUUGACACUUUCCGUGUUUGUGGUGGAAAAUAGAGUCUGCCUUCCACCAUGCUCACUCCAUGGGAAGUCCCCAAAACAAGGAAGCCAUAUCAGUUAGCAAGCAGGAAAGAUCAAUAACAAAUGCCAACUAUGAUUAAAAUUGUAUGUACCAUAAAUUCUAUGUCUAGAAUUUCUAACAAAAUACUCACACGUGUAAAAGACGGGACAAUAAUUUUUUUAAGGCAUUGUAUUAAUACAUAAUUAAUACAUGAUAGCAAACAUGAAAAGAACUAAAAUGCCACUGGCAGAGGAUUAGAUAAAUAGGUUGUGAUAAGUUAAUAUGAUUUUUUUGUGUGUUCAAGUAUUGAGAAACUACAGUGUCAGACACAAUGCUAAUCACUGUGGACAGAAACUGGGGUGGGAAGGGGGGAGGGUUACAUAUACGAAUUUUGAAAAGACUCCCUUUGAGGUGCCCCCAAUGAAGUGGGAGGAUAGACAUGUAAGUAUAUCACUAGGACUUAUGUAAUGUAUCCAAGGCUCAGAUAGAUCAUGUAUAUGCGGCUGAGAUGGUGCCGUUAGAAGACUCUAACUGCCUGCAUUCGUGAGAGAGACACCACAGAGUAAAAAGGUCCAUAUGUCAGUUAAGACUUAAAAGAUGUAGAAGAACCUAUGAUAUAAGAAAAGGAGCGGUACAUUCCAGACGGUAUGAAUUUUAUUUGUAAAGCCACUAAAGCUUGUUAUAGCACAAUGUUUUUCUGAAAAGUGCUAUUAAAAUGUUUGCCAUGCUUGAUAUUACACAAAUCAUACUUAAUGGCAAUACUGUGGCAUGCGGGAAAAACUCCAGGAAGAGAUUUUAAGUUUCAUAGGAACUCAUCUACAAACUCAAACUAAAGUAAAUCAGAAACAGAAAGAGCACGUAACAUUCCAAUUUUGUCCCACUUAAAACUACCACGGUUUUAUUACACCAUUGAAAAAGUUUCCUGCAAAUAAUGCAAUUAUAAUUUGGCCAAAGAUAAAUAAUUCAUUCACAGAAAACUAACCAAUAAUAAACCUGAGCUACUUUUCCACCUGAAGCAAUAGAAAGAAAACUUUUCAAAAUGUUGCCAUCUAGUGGCUUCACACUUGAAAUAAUGAACUACUCUAGUAAACCAUUCAACCAUGUUUCCUAGGAAAAGUUUCCUUAGCAGUUCUCAAAUAAACAAACAUUACAUUUGUGCCUCUGCCUUAAGAGAAAGCACUCUGGAUUUAGGCUACUAGGUUUUAAAGUUUUGCUUCAUCAUUUACUAGCUGAAUGACUACAGGCAAGUUGCUUAAUUUCUCUGUAAAAUGCAUACAAUAAUCGUACCUACCUCCCAAAGUUGCUAGGAAGAAUAAAUGAGAAGGUCCACAUAAAGUUGUUUAGCACAGCAUUUGGCUCAUAGUAUAUACUCAAUAGGCAAUAAUAAUUAUAUUAUUUAAUUGGGAAAGAGUUGCAAAAUAUUUGGUCUGUCAGUGAGAUUGAAGUUUGAGUGAUACAGCAAUUAAAACAAUGGUACUUUUAUGGCUGUUCUGGUUACAGCAUUAUACUGUUUUCUCGAAGCAGUAGAAACAUUGUAUUGGUAUAUGGUUGCUAUCUAGAUAGCAGAUAUCACUAACUGGUAUUCUCUAAUUUCGAAAGAUCACUGAAUCAAACUAUGAUUGUGAUUUGCUGUCAGAAUAUUUUCAAAGUCCAAUUCAUCACUGAUUUAACCUCUUAGCUAUUCUAUGAGAAAAUGUACAUUUUUUCUAUGACAACAUAAAUGAAAGUGGAGGAGAAGGCAGAUUCACCAGUUUGUUAAAAAAAAUUGAGACUUAUAUAAGAUGCAAUCAGCUCUAAAACUACCUAUCAUAGCAACAAGACAGAUGAAAUUGGUCCUCUCUAUUUAUGCCAUCCCUUGAGCUAUAGUAUUGCUAUGACUUAUUUUAUUCUUUAAGACAGUCCUUGAGGCUUAGCUUAACUUGAUUUCGCCUG